rnacentral:sRNA from 1 species
CUACAAUCCCAUAUAUGUAUAUCUACUUCUUCCUUUCGUAUUUUAUUUGUCAAUGUUUGGUGGACAUACACGGUAUCUACAGUACAAAUCUACCGCCGAAUUUCUUGAGAAAUUGAUCAUCAGCCUUCAGAUACUUCCCAGAAUUGACUCCUCCAUUUUUGGUUCAAUUGAACAUGUAAUGGCAUCUCUCUCAAUAAUUGGGAUCUAGAUAUACUAUUCCUAUCUAUUUCUUCCCUAAUAUCCACAAGAAAGGCACAUCCACUCCAUCUUCCACAUCAACCCUAACCUCCGCCUCGAUAACAGCAAAUCCCUCUCUCGCUACGAUGUGCCUAUAAACCCUAUCCGGAAAGCAGCUCCAAUACAUCUCCUUACCCAGGAAAUCUCCUAGAAUGGCACCGCUAUCCGCCGUCACACCAAAAUUUACCAACAGAUAACCCCCUUCUUUCAACCACCCAAAGAUUCUCCGCAUCAACAUUUCCUGCUCAUCUGCCGGUAGGUGAAGGACGGAAUAGAGCCCCACCACUGCAUCAAAGGUUGCAGCGGGGUAAUCCAAUUCCAUCAUGUCUCCGAGGAUGAACUCCACCGAACCACUUUCACUCCUUUCAUCCUCGUCACCGGUUGAGCCAAUAGUGACGUGCCUUCGAGCAAGUUGAAUCUGAGCAGUAGAGAUGUCGUUGGCAGUCACCGCGAAUCCGCUACUGACAAGGUACUGUGUGGCGGGAACUCCAGCACCGCAACCUAAUUCCAAAAUGCGGAGCUUGUCUCUGGCGAGGUAUAACGUUUGAAGCUGCGCCUUCAGCUUCCCUAGAAACUCCACACGCGGGGAUGGGGUGCUAGUGGUCCAUUCAAGGUAGCGUGCAGCGAUGUGGUCGUAGCUUGAUUGUACAAGGGAUUUGAUAUUCGCACUGCCAAUGGCAGAACCACCGGUAUUUGUACUGCUGUUCACCGCACUAAUUGCGACAGUGUUGUGGCGAUUAUCAGCGUCCGUACUACUGGCGCUCAAAGGUGUGGGAGUGUCGUUGUUAUGAGUUGCCAUUUGAGAAUAUGUAAACAGUUUCCAAUCUGUUUCCCUUAGAGUUUUUAAGGACCGCACCGGAAGGGGUUUCAGAGUAGCCGUCUCUCCAGAGGUGGUGACGAAGAGCAGGGAAAAUCAACUUAAUGAAUUCUCGUCUCUGUCUUGAAUAUGGCUGGGGAAGGGAAAUAUUGUGCAGCCGCGUCCUCACCCAAGCCCCAGGUUAUGGUUGAUUCAUGGUAUGACGACGUGCAUCUCAACUAAAGUUGAGUCAUAAGCAGGGAUUAGUUAGUGGAUGUCGUUUUGGUUUGCAACUGCAUAAUCGGGAAACGUAUAUAGUUAGCCUACAUUCGGCAAGCUUUCACGGAAAAGUCGGUAGAAAGAGUCCUUAGGGAUAAAAGG